UUAAAGAGUUCUAUAACUCCCAAACCCAUGUGAACAUACCUAACGUUGCCUCGGCAGGUCGCACCUACCUUGUAGCACCCUACCCUGUAGGGCCUACCCGGGAGGUGCGGGUAAGCCUGCCGGCGGCCCACCAAACUCUGUUUGAUAUUGAAUUCUGAAUCUAUAACUAAAUAAGUUAAAACUUUCAACAACGGAUCUCUUGGUUCUGGCAUCGAUGAAGAACGCAGCGAAAUGCGAUAAGUAAUGUGAAUUGCAGAAUUCAGUGAAUCAUCGAAUCUUUGAACGCAUAUUGCGCCCAUUAGUAUUCUAGUGGGCAGGACCGUUCGAGCGUCAUUUCAACCCUUAAGCCUUCGUUGCUUAGUGUUGGGAGCCUACGGCAACGUAGCUCCUCAAAGUUAGUGGCGGAGUUGGUUCACACUCUAGACGUAGUAAUUUUUUAUCUCGCCUAUUAGUUGGACUAAUCCCCUGCCGUAAAACCCCCAAUUUAUAUCAAGGUUGACCUCGAAUCGGUUCAGACAAACUCGCUAAAUUGAAGCAUCUUAGUCAGCGAAGGAAAAGAAACCAACAGGGAUUGCCCUAGUAACGGCGAGUGAAGCGGCAACAGCUCAAAUUUGAAAUCUGGCCCUCGGGUCCGAGUUGUAAUUUGUAGAGGAUG
rnacentral:rRNA from 1 species